rnacentral:ncRNA from 1 species
CUCAUAAAGAGUGGCGGAGGGACUGGCCCUAUGAAGCCCGGCAACCGGUAAUAGUUUUACCAUGGUGCCAAAUCCAACAGCGUUGGCUGAAAGAUGAGA